rnacentral:rRNA from 1 species
AGAGUUUGAUCAUGGCUCAGAAUGAACGCUGGCGGCAUGGAUUAGGCAUGCAAGUCGAACGAUGAAGCCUAGCUUGCUAGGUGAAUUAGUGGCGAAAGGGUGAGUAACGCGUGAGCAACCUGCCCUCAAGAUUGGGACAACACCUGGAAACGGGUACUAAUACCGGAUGUGCUUAUAAUGACUAUGUUAUACUAAGUAAAUAUUUAUAGCUUGAGGAUGGGCUCGCGUUCCAUUAGCUAGUUGGUAAGGUAACGGCUUACCAAGGCAACGAUGGAUAGCUGGUCUGAGAGGAUGACCAGCCACACUGGGACUGAGAUACUGCCCAGACUCCUACGGGAGGCUGCAGUCGAGAAUCUUCCGCAAUGCGCGAAAGCGUGACGGAGCAAUGCCGCGUGCAGGAUGAAGGCCCUUGGGUUGUAAACUGCUGUCACUAGGGAUGAAUAAAAUGACAGACCAGAGAGA